rnacentral:rRNA from 1 species
AUGAUGCCCAGCUUGCUGGGGUGGAUUAGUGGCGAACGGGUGAGUAACACGUGAGCAACCUGCCCUUGACUCUGGGAUAAGCCUGGGAAACUGGGUCUAAUACCGGAUAGGACUCCUCAUCGCAUGGUGGGGGGUGGAAAGCCUUGUGCGGUCUUGGAUGGGCUCGCGGCCUAUCAGCUUGUUGGUGGGGUGAUGGCCUACCAAGGCGACGACGGGUAGCCGGCCUGAGAGGGUGACCGGCCACACUGGGACUGAGACACGGCCCAGACUCCUACGGGAGGCAGCAGUGGGGAAUAUUGCACAAUGGGCGCAAGCCUGAUGCAGCGACGCCGCGUGGGGGAUGACGGCCUUCGGGUUGUAAACCCCUUUCAGCAGGGGACAAGCCUUUCGGGGUGAGGGUACCUGCAGAAGAAGCGCCGGCUAACUACGUGCCAGCAGCCGCGGUAAUACGUAGGGCGCGAGCGUUAUCCGGAAUUAUUGGGCGUAAAGAGCUCGUAGGCGGUUUGUCGCGUCUGCUGUGAAAGCCCGGGGCUCAACCCCGGGUCUGCAGUGGGUACGGGCAGGCUGGAGUGCAGUAGGGGAGACUGGAAUUCCUGGUGUAGCGGUGAAAUGCGCAGAUAUCAGGAGGAACACCGAUGGCGAAGGCAGGUCUCUGGGCUGUAACUGACGCUGAGGAGCGAAAGCAUGGGGAGCGAACAGGAUUAGAUACCCUGGUAGUCCAUGCCGUAAACGUUGGGCACUAGGUGUGGGGGCCAUUCCACGGUUUCCGCGCCGCAGCUAACGCAUUAAGUGCCCCGCCUGGGGAGUACGGCCGCAAGGCUAAAACUCAAAGGAAUUGACGGGGGCCCGCACAAGCGGCGGAGCAUGCGGAUUAAUUCGAUGCAACGCGAAGAACCUUACCAAGGCUUGACAUGUGCCGGACCGUCCCAGAGAUGGGGCUUCCCUUCGGGGCCGGUUCACAGGUGGUGCAUGGUUGUCGUCAGCUCGUGUCGUGAGAUGUUGGGUUAAGUCCCGCAACGAGCGCAACCCUCGUUCCAUGUUGCCAGCACGUGAUGGUGGGGACUCAUGGGAGACUGCCGGGGUCAACUCGGAGGAAGGUGGGGACGACGUCAAAUCAUCAUGCCCCUUAUGUCUUGGGCUUCACGCAUGCUACAAUGGCCGGUACAAAGGGUUGCGAUACUGUGAGGUGGAGCCAAUCCCAGAAAGCCGGUCUCAGUUCGGAUUGGGGUCUGCAACUCGACCCCAUGAAGUCGGAGUCGCUAGUAAUCGCAGAUCAGCAACGCUGCGGUGAAUACGUUCCCGGGCCUUGUACACACCGCCCGUCAAGUCACGAAAGUCGGUAA